CCUCCCCAUCUGUGACCGCGACGCGCCUCCCCCAUUUAGGAACAGGACAUGCACCCCCAGCUCCAUAUGGAACAAUUCCCCAACACUACCGGAUUGCUUGGAUUGCGCCGCCACCAGCCCGAUCUCCCGUCUGGUCACCUCCGCUUCUCGCCAUCUAUCUCGUCAUGUCAUCACAGACGAGCUGCAUGGAAUACAAUCACGUUGGAUCUCCACAAACCCCACAGAUCCGUCCAAGAACAGCCCCCUCUGGAUCCACAUCACUUCGGAGGCGAGGACGACCCCGCAACCACCGCACCCUGGCACUCAGCGGCCGGGGCAGGAGCCUACCCCCGUACCACGCCCAGAAGGCAAGGGGCUCCCAGCAACUGCAACUCCAUUACGUUCCUCAAUUGAGCACAUGAUUAGAUGAACAUGGAGCACACAGGAACAUGCGUGGAUGGACCAUGCAUGCCCAAAAUCACCUCAUUCCUUAUCCAUGAGUAUGUCACCAUGACCCUCUGUAUCAGCUCUAAGAUGUACUACAACGGUGCUACUCCAUUCACCAAGAUGAGGAUCAAUUUAAUGUUUUUCCCUUUCUCUUUACUGUAUUGCAAGUCAUUUUUCUACACUAAAAGAUCACAGAUUUGAUGAUGCACCGUACAGUACGUGAAACAAUUCAGCCAUGGUUUCGUAGUUUGCCGAACUGCCGAAUGACUACCAGUAUUAUUCUAUUUAUUAGUAUUCUUCAUGUUUGUUGGAAUAUUUGAAUGAGACAACACUUUGUAUCCCAAUUAAAAUGUAACUAAAGUGAGAUGGUUUUAGUUUGUU